UACGAAGGGGGCGAGCGUUGUUCGGAUUUACUGGGCGUAAAGGGCGCGUAGGCGGGCCGCCAAGUCAGGGGUGAAAGCCCCCAGCUCAACUGGGGAAGUGCCUUUGAUACUGGCGGUCUCGAGGGGGAUAGGGGCGUGCGGAACUUCCGGUGGAGCGGUGAAAUGCGUAGAUAUCGGAAGGAACACCGGUGGCGAAAGCGGCGCGCUGGAUCCCUUCUGACGCUGAGGCGCGAAAGCCAGGGGAGCGAACGGG
rnacentral:rRNA from 1 species